ACUCCUACUGGAGGCAUCAGUGGGGAAUUUUGGACAAUGGGGGAAACCCUGAUCCAGCAAUGCCGCGUGAGUGAAGAAGGCCUUCGGGUUGUAAAGCUCUUUUGUCAGGGAAGAAACACCGGCUCUAACACAGUCCGGGAAUGACGGUACCUGAAGAAUAAGCACCGGCUAACUACGUGCCAGCAGCCGCGGUAAUAC
rnacentral:rRNA from 1 species